AUUCUUGCUGCAUCGGAAAGUAAUUGGCAAUUAUAGAAAGCAAAGAGUUAAUUAAAUGUUGUCUAAGGCCAGAACCCCCCUUUGCUUGCUAGUGUUCUUCUUCCUCUUCUUAACCUUCACAUAUGCAGCAAGACUUGCUCCUGUAUCUUCCCCUAUCAUUUCAACCAAUACUCAACAUGAAGUCUUGGAAGAUGUGAAGGUCGACAUAGAGGAGAAUUGUGAGGAUAUUAGUGAAGAUGAUUGUUUGAUGAGAAGAACACUUGUAGCUCACACGGAUUAUAUCUAUACGCAGAAGCAAAAACCAUAGAUCCAAAUAUGGUUUUCUACACUUUGUUGUUGUAAUUUUAUUUUUAUGUAUAAGCUAUAGUUUUCAUAUGUAAAUUAAUUUUGACAUUUGAAGAGUUAGUUCACUCAGUUGUUGCGGACAGAAGAAUAUUAAAUAUGUAUUAACAUGUGUGUUUCUUUUUAUUUCAUAGUGUAAUAUGUAUACUAAUCUUGGUAGAUAAAUAUUUUGAUAUAUUUUAA